rnacentral:tRNA from 1 species
GGGGUUGUGGCUCAAGGUAGAGCACUUGCCUGGCAUGCAUGAGGUGCUAGGUUCAAUCCUCAGCACCA